CCUGCAGAACGAGGUGCAGGAGGUGGUUCUGCUCGGCGCUCAGCAGGGGCCACAUCUCCACCUGCAGCAACUUGACGGCCUCUGUGUCCUUCUCGUGUG
rnacentral:pre_miRNA from 1 species